rnacentral:misc_RNA from 1 species
AAGGAACUAAGACCACCACUGCUGCUUCUGAAAAUUUAAACCCAAUAAAGAUUGCCAAGGGCACUUUACAAAAGAAAGAAAGCCCUCCUGUUGCAGCUCCUGAAAAAAAGGGCAGUGAUCGUGCUACAGAUAAAGAUAGGAAAAAAGAUGUUCCUCAUCCACGGAUGCAAUUUGAUGAUAAGAGUCGUGUGGAGAAGGCGAAGAAGCGCUCAGUAGUGAAGCAAAUUGAAGCCAAAAACAGGGUUGAACUUUUUAGGCAUUUGCCUCAGUAUGAACAUGGAACAAGACUUCCCGAGCUUGAAUCAAAGUUCUUCCAGCUAGAUCCAGUUCAUCCUGCUGUUUUUAAGGUUGGACUUAGAUAUUUGGCUGGAGAUAUAUCUGGUGGUAAUGCCCGCUGUAUUGCUAUGCUUCAAGCUUUCCAAGAGUCCAUCAAAGACUACUCAACUCCCGCGGAGAAAGCUCUUAUAAGAGACUUGACUGCAAAAGUUAAUUGUUAUGUUUCAUUUUUGAUCGAGUGCAGGCCCCUCUCAAUCAGCAUG